ACAGGUGUUGCAUGGCUGUCGUCAGCUCGUGUCGUGAGAUGUUCGGUUAAGUCCGCUAACGAGCGCAACCCUCGUCGUAUGUUAUAUGUGUCAUACGAGACUGCCGGUAAAAAGCCGGAGGAAGGUGAGGAUGAUGUCAAGUCAGCAUGACCUUUAUAUCCAGGGCUACACACACGCUACAAUGGUCUGUACAAUGGGUAGCCAAGCCGCGAGGCGGAGCCAAUCCUGAAAGCAGGCCUCAGUUCAGAUUGCAGUCUGCAACCCGCCUGCAUGAAGAUGGAGUUGCUAGUAAACGCGCGUCAGCAAUAGUGCGUUGAAUACGUUCCCGGGUCUU
rnacentral:rRNA from 1 species